rnacentral:rRNA from 1 species
AGCGGAGGAAAAGAAACUAACAAGGAAUCCCCUAGUAGCGGCGAGCGAAGCGGGAAGAGCUCAAAUUUAUAAUCUGGCACCUUCGGUGUCCGAGUUGUAAUCUCUAGAAGUGUUUUCCGCGUUGGACCGCACACAAGUCUGUUGGAAUACAGCGGCAUAGUGGUGAAACCCCCGUAUAUGGUGCGGACGCCCAGCGCUUUGUGAUACACUUUCAAUGAGUCGAGUUGUUUGGGAAUGCAGCUCAAAUUGGGUGGUAAAUUCCAUCUAAAGCUAAAUAUUGGCGAGAGACCGAUAGCGAACAAGUACCGUGAGGGAAAGAUGAAAAGCACUUUGGAAAGAGAGUUAACAGUACGUGAAAUUGUUGGAAGGGAAACGCUUGAAGUCAGACUUGCUUGCCGGAGCUUGCUUCGGUUUGCAGGCCAGCAUCAGUUUUCCGGGGUGGAUAAUAACGGUUUGAAGGUAGCAGUCUCGGCUGUGUUAUAGCUUUCCGUUGGAUACAUCCUGGGGGACUGAGGAACGCAGCGUGCUUUUUGCGAAAGACUCGUCUUUUUCACGCUUAGGAUGCUGGUGGAAUGGCUUUAAACGACCCGUCUU